AUGAGGAAGUUUCUUAAUGCGGCGAUGCGUCUUUUGAUGGAGGACAACGAGGCAUUGAAAACUACUGAUCAACCUUUUUACGGCAGACUGUGUCUAAUGAUCCCCAAAGUAGCCGAGCCGCGAAUCAAUCAAUCAAUCAAUCAAUUUAUUUAUUUACUUGGAUUUAUAAAAUCCAAAUAAAUUUAUAAAUUCUUUUAGUUUUUUAGUUUUAAGAUUGUUAUUUCUUUUGAGCUAUGAUUUUUUCCUGUUUUUCUAUACUUUUUUCUUUCAUUCUCUGUCAACUAGGUUGGGUGGACUUUCGAACUAGUGUAUAGUUUCAAAUACUAGUUUCGUUGUUUUGCAUUCUUGAAAUAUAUGCUUUUGUUGAGGUAAUGCCCGUCAAGCUCUGCUAGGUGGCAGCAGAAUGUUAUAAGCAACGUCGAAUCUGAACAGAACAGAGAAGACAAUCCCAGGACAUAGGGCGUAAACAAAAAACAAAACGCGGAAGACGAUUUAAGUGGGCACGUCUGUAAAGUCACAAAAGUGGACUAAAAGCAAAUUCGUUUGUCUUCUAUGCGCAUAGAUGUUUUAUACAAAUGGCUCAUUAGACUGGAAUUUAUAGUACCAGGGGGCUUCUCUUCAGUUUUCCGGGUUGAGUUUUCGAGAGAAAUUCUCCCAGAAAUAUAUUCUUAAUGGAAAUGCUCCUUUCUUAACUCGCCCGAAUGUGAAAGAGGAGCCUUGUUGAUACCGACGCGUUGCUCCUUUUUUCUGGGCAAAGCGUCAAGAAAAGAAUCCAAGUUACUUAGCGGCGGAGCGAUUUGCACUCCAACCCCAACUCUAUAAUAUCGCUCCAGGAAGUGACAUGAGCCCUUUUAGUUCGGCUCUGUUGCUGUGGAAACGGUUGCUAUGUGAGCGGCGCCGACAACCUUCCGAAGCGGCGGCAGAGACCAAGGUGGCCGCAAGAUGAAUCAAUCGGUGACCGUUGUUCCGCCGCUGGACCAGACUGGGAUCCGGUAUCGCAGGAAGAUGGCUCCCAACCGGGCUUUUGAUUUCAUUUAUGAUCCAUUGUAUGAGCUAUCAAGUGCAAAAGAUCAUGCACAGGCAAAUGUCCAAGCUCAUCUUAUUCAUGAUGAAAUGAGGAAAGUACCAGAAUUUAAAGCCAUGUUUAGUAAUUUGGUUCACUAUCCAUCGUACUUUGUGCAAUUAGAAGAAAAAAAUCCUGUUCCUCCAUUCAUUGAUCGAAGAUGGAGAGGAAGGGCACAGCAACGCUUUGAGACUUUUCAGCAGCUUGUGGUAGCCCCACCUUCACUUCAGGUGCCUAGAAUUGAAUAUGAAGAUCCUGAAGUUAGUGGAAAGAAUCGCUGGAAAUAUUUUGAACGACCUUUCAUUCCAUUUGAUAAGCCAAUUCCAUUGAAUGUUGUUUAUGCAAUGUCAAAGCCAGAGCUACAGACUCAUCCAGCAAAAUCCAAAGACAAACCAGCCUAUCUCAUUUCACGAACCGUGGAAACACAAACAGAUUAUCGGGAUGGUGAAGCUCAGACAGACCCCUAUAGCCCUGAAUACAUAGUUCCUUCAGGUUCAAUACCUGAAUUGUUAACUCUCGCCACACUGACUUGGGGUCAUGGCCUUCCAGCAACUCAGGCAGAAGUGGAAGUAAUUGAACGAGCCCGGGAGAAACGAGCCUGGGAGGCCACUCUUCCACCACUGAAUGAUGCUGCACACAUUGCAAAACGGAGGAGAAUGAUGGAGGAAAUGGAGAGAAAAGAGUGGGCUUUUCGGGAGGAAGAAAUAGAAGAACUGCAAGAAGUGAGACUAAACCUUCUAAAGGCCUUGCUUAUGAAACGAGAAGAGAAGCACAAUGAAUUAAAUGUCAGUUGCUUAGAUGCACACUGGUUUAAACUUAUGCAAGAAAAAGAAAAGAAAGUGAAAAAGAUUCAACAUGAACACAUAAAAGCAAUCAGAAGAUUAAUAGCCAAGGGGAAAAAUGUAGAGGGAAAACUAGAGAGAAGAAAUGUAAUUAAGGACUACACUGAAUAUGAAUCACAGCCUUAUGCUCCAUUAUCAAGAAUUGGCUACUUUCCAGAUAAUCAUGCAGAUCGUUACGUAGUGAAGAAUUCCUUUCUCAACACCUAUGAAGGAUUACUUGAACUAGAAGCAUUUCUUCCUGAUUCCGUUACACAGCCCCGAACUGAAGCUCCAAAACCCAGAAGCUUAACCACAAAAGAUGGAUUCACUAAGCGGUCUGCUAGACUAGAGAUGGAAUUAGCACAGGUUUACCAGAUACUGCAAGACAGGAAAUGCCAUAUUAAAGAACCACGCAAGCCACUACGUUUUCUUCAGAGGUUAUCAAAGAUUUUGGCUCACCCACCCACUCCAGAAUUGGAAAUACCUUCACUAAUAGAUGAAGAGAGAGAAUUGGCUAUAAUUAUACUACAGAAAUUAAUACGAGGCAGAGCUAUCCAAAACAUGAUGUUUGAAGGAAAGGAAAAGCGUCUAGAAUUGAUUUGUGAGUUACGCACCACACAUGCACUUCAGGAAGAUGGACAGUUGUUGAAGAAGGCUGAAAAACAAGUGACUUUAGCCUUACAACGGCAGCGGGAUUUGCAUGAACAUAAGAUGUCUCUCAUGGAAAAGCAUUUGGCUCGUGUAGAAGGAAGAGUCCUUGCAAAUAUGUUGGAUUUCCUCUCUAAAGAAUUGAUUCGACUACAGGAUGAGCGGAGAAUCCAUGCUUUUGCUAUGUUAGCAGAAAGGCAGCGCCGAAUGCGGGAAGCAGAGGAAAGUGGACGUCGACAGGUGGAAGAGAGACGCAGACGUGAAGAGGAUGAGAUCUUUAGACAGGUUGUUAAAGUACACCAAAAAACAGUUGAUUCAUAUCUAGAAGAUGUUAUCUUGAACAGCAUGGAGAGUACAGCUGAAGAACAAUCUAGAGAAGAGAUUCAGAGAAUGGCUGUAGAAAUCAAUAAUAUUGCCUAUGAAAUGGAAACACGUCAGGGUAAUCUACAGUCUGAAGAGAUUGUGGCAGAACUAGUUUAUAGCUUCCUGAUCCCUGAAGUGAGAAAAAUGACCAUUAAGGAGAAAGUGAGGCAGGCUCAGAGAAAGCAUAUUCAUGCCGCUCAUCAGAUUAUCCAUGGAAACACAGAGACAACAGUAGAGCAGCUCUUUUCCCCAGGGUUUCAACAGGCAACCAGUGUAGAUAUUCCUCAGAUCGGAUUGCUUUCUGCUACACCUACUGGUCAAGAUGUUGCUAAGCAGCAGGAAAUCAAGCCACCAGACAGUCAAAGCCAGGAAGAUAAAAUGUACGAAGUCAGCCCUUUCAUUGAAUCUGCCAGGCCUCCUGAACAAUGAAGCAGAAAUAUGGCCUUUCUUUCCUACUUUCCUCUUCUCAGUCCAGCCUACCAAGUGAGAAGAUAACAAGGAUAGACAGCAAACACUAAUGAUGUCAACUGCCUUGAUGGAAAAUGGCAAGGAGAGGCUGGAGCCCCCAGAUGUUGAAUGCAGAGGUAGAAAAACUCUUUUUCCAACACUAAUGAUCACACUGGAUUAACAUCAUGACUAGAAGAGCUGGAUCAUAAAAGAAAUUCCCCCUUCACCAGGGCCAGGCUCAUUUUGUUUCAGUUGUUCCUGGGAAAAUAUAACAGUGACAAAUAGACUACUAACCACUGCAAAAAGGAGUUGGUAAAGUAUUAAAAGGUACAGCUGGACUUCAUAGGAGUAAAGUAAUUUUACUUUGUUAAUAUUUGGAUUUAAUUUUAUAAAUAUAUAUAUAAUUUUAAAUUUGUUUGUGUGUGUGUGUAUGCUUUAUAUAUUCCAAUUCAAUAUAUUAAAAUUGAAUCUUCCAUCUUCCCAAAUCAGAUAGUUACGAUAAGUAUUGUAACAGUGUUACAAUAAGUCUCUCUGUGUUACAGGACCUGGUCUUCCUUGUUAACAUUUUUAAACUCAAAAGUCAUCUUCUUUACAACCUUCAAGAUUAGGUUCACCAGACACUCCAAUACAGUCCGUAAUUCAACUUACCCUAUCAUUUCCCAAACAUAUCAACAAUUUUGCAUUAUCACCAUAUAAAAAGCUCUAUUGUAUUUUAUGCAUAUUUUCCACCUCCAAGCUGUAUAAUCUUGAAUGCUUAGUGGAUAUAAGCAUAUCAGGUGAUGUGCAUUUGUGUAAUGAGGGAUCCUCUUAAGGAGAUCAACACUUUUAAGGUGUGCAUAAUCAUUAGGCAGCUUCUUUUCCUCAGGCAAAAUGGGCCAAAAGAGAGAUUUAACUGAAAAGUCAAAAAUGGAAUAAAGGGAUGUAGCACUCUUGAAAUUGCUAAGAUAUUGGGGCGUGAUCACAGAACCAUCAAACAGUUUGUUGCAAAUAGUCAACAGGGUCACAAGAAAUAUGUUGAGAAAAAAGACACACCUUAACUGCCAAAGAUUUGAGAAGAAUCAAAUAUGAAGCUACCAGGAACCCAUCAUUCUCCAGUGCUGUCAUAUUCCAUAACUGCAACCUACCUGGCAUGCCCAGAAGUACAAGGUGUUCAGUGCUCAGAGACAUGGCCAAGGUAAGGAAGGCUGAAACCAACCACCACUGAAUAGGACACAUAAAUUGAAAUGGCAAGAUUGGGCCAAGGAAUAUUUGAAGACAGAUUUUUCAAAGGUUUUAUGGUCUGAUGAGAUGAGAGUGACUCUUGAUGGAUCAGAUGGAUGGGCCCAUGGCUGUAUCAGUAGCAGGUACAGAGCUCCACUUCAACUCAGACACCAGCUAGGUGGAGGUGGGAUACUGGUAUGGGCUGGUAUUAUUAAAGAUGAGUUAGUUGGACCUUUUUGGGUUGAAGAUGGACUCAAAAUCAACUCCCAAACCUACUGCCAGUUUUUAGAAGUCACUUUUUUCAAGCAGUGGUACAGGAAAAAGUCUGCAUCUUUCAAGAAGACCAUUAUUUUUAUGCAGGACAUGCACUGCUCCAUCACAUGCAUUGAAGUACUCUGCUGCGUGGCUAGCCAGUAAGGGCCUUAAAGAUGACAGAAUAAUGACCUGUCUCCCUUCUUCACCUGACCUGGCCCCCUUCUUCACCUCUAUUGACAAUUUGUGGGCUCUUCUUAAACGAGAGAUUUAUGGUGAAGGAAAAGAGUACACAUCUCUGAAUAGUGCCUGGGAGGCUGUGCUUGCUGCUGCACAAGAAAUUGAUCGGCAACAGAUUAAGAAAUUGACAGACUCCAUGAAUGGAAGAUCUAUGACUGUUAUUAAAAAGAAUGGUGGCUAUAUUGGUCACUGAUUUUUUUUUUGAAAUGUCAGAAAUGUUUAUUUGUACAUUUAAAUUGUUUGUUUAUUAUUCUCACUUUAACAGAUGCAAAUAAAUGAGUGAGAUGGGCAAUUUUUCAUUUUUCAUUUAUUUGCAUUCUAAUUCUGCACACUAAUAGUUGCCCAAUAAUUGUACAACAUAAAUAUUCUCCUAAGAAAUCCAAAACCUCACUUUUACUUUCUUAAAUAUUCAGGUUUGAGGUUUAUUAACAUUUUGGAUUGACCAAGAGCACUGUACUUGUUCAAUAAUAAAAUUAAUCCUCCAAAAUACAAUUUGCCUAAUAAUUGUGCACACAGUGUAUGUAUGAGUUAAGAACAUUCGUUUCUUUUCCUUUCUUUUCCAAACACUAAAAAUCAAUUAAUAAAAGGUGCAUAAAUGUGUUUCAGUUCAGACUGGCUGUGAUGUUGUGCCUUAGACUUCUGAUUUCUCAAAAUAAUCUAAUGGUUAUAUUAAAAAAGAUUUAUCAUUUUAAGAUCUCAGGUGCAGACAAUGAGGUAAUUAGUAUCAUCAUCAAGAUCCAUUCUAAUAUAAAACAAGUAAUAAAAUUUAAACUUCUUUUUUCCUAAAAGUCAGUAAGAAAGAGACUCAAACUGACAAAUGUUAGAUCACUGGCAGGAUCCUUUUCGGGUUCAGAAAUAUUGCUUCCAAACUGUUAGAUGAACAAAAUAAGCUCUUCUAUUAAUGUGCCAUCUGUUCCUUUCAGCAGACUACACAUCAUAGAGCUUGACUGAGGUCCAGCAACGCUACUGUCUACAUUGAUCAUUGAAAUAGAAAUAAAAUGAGCAAGAAUGAACUUUCACAGCUAGUGAUCAAAUGGCUACAGUGUUUGUUCACCUAGUUGAUUGUUCUCAUAUCAUCCUAUAGCUUCAAAAAUCUUUACACUAUAUCAGAGAUGGGUUUCAGCAGGUUCUGACCAGUUCUGGAGAACCGGUAGCAGAAAUUUUGAGUAGUUCGGAGAACUGGUAGUAAAAAUUCUGACUGGCCCCGCCCCCAUCUAUUCUCUGCCUCCCGAGUCCCAGCUGAUCAGGAGGGAGUGGGGAUUUUGCAGUAACUUUCCCUUGGAGUGGGGUAGGAAUGGAGAUUUACAGUAUCCUUUUCCUACCACACCCACCACGUCACACUCACCAAGCCACACCCACAGAACCGGCAGUAAAAAAAUUUGAAAUCCAUCACUGCACCAUAUCCCUUCUCUGCAAAUAAACUUUGUUACAAUUGCAAGGUGUACUCUAGCUGCAAAUACGAGUCUAUAAUUGGAGCAAAAGCUUCUGUGAAACUGCAAUCUUCACCUGGCCUGCUUUUUCAACAAGAGAGAAACAAACUUCAAAAUGAUUAGUUUCUCAUUCUUGUAAAAAAGAACUGUCUGAUUUAACUGUUAUAUGGAAAAAGAGAACUCUGUAUUAUGCUUUUGACUGGAAAUAAAACUAGUAAGUUGCAUGGACAUGUGAAUAGUGUGUUUUUUUUAUUGUUCAACUGUAAAUUUUUGUAAACCUUUAGGCCAUAACUUUAUUUUAAAAUACAUGUUUAGCCUCUGAGGAGUGUAGGAAAUGUGGCUGAAAUCUUCAAUGGUUUUACUUUUUAGGAAGACUUUGGGAACAUUAAGGAACAAAAAUGGGCUUAAAAUUGUAACUUUAUUAUUUUUGCAAAAUUUCAAUGAAAACUUCAAAUAGCACUGAAGUGGAUUUUCAAAAACCAAGAUAGAAGUGGAGUGUGAUCACAAUCUGUGGCCUGGCCAUCUCCAUUCCAUUCCAUUUUGAUUGCCACUUAGUAAAUUUUAGCUUCGUUUAUUUGGAGGCCAGAAAUUGUGCCUUCUGGUUCCCUUCCACCCAUUCCCCCGCCCCCAAACUGUGCUAUCUCAGUAAAAAUUUCUUUCUUGCUGUUACUCCAUUUCAGUCACAAUCUGUUUGGCACUCUUUUCACACAGAAGAAGCAAUGCUGUUCAAAAAAGACCUACUCUAAAAGCUUUUUUAAAAUCACUUAAGCAAAAGGUAUUUUCUAUGCAGAAGAAUUCUAUUUCCCUCUUCUUCAAUGUGUAUGCCAGCAUAACCAUCCCAAAUUGCCAUUGAUAAUUCUCAUAAAGUCUUCAAAAUAACUUGUGUAGAAAUAUGGAGAAUUGCAGAUGAGAAGAAAAAUCUGCAUGUUUCAGUCAUAUCAACAAAAUUAUUACUCUGAAUAUAGAUUAAAUAAUUAGAUUAGCAAUUUGUAGGACUAUUACAUGAUACAGAGUGAUGGUUCCGUUUAUUACUUGUGAAAAUAAACAUACAGACCUCAGUGUUGAAUAUACCCCGCUACAUAUACACACACAACCAUUUCAAAAA